rnacentral:rRNA from 1 species
AACUUACCUUUUACUAGAGAAUAGCCAAGAGAAAUUUUGAUUAAUGCUCUAUGUUCUUAUUUACUCGCAUGAGUAAAUAAGCAAAGCUCCGGCGGUAAAAGAUGGGCAUGCGUCCUAUUAGCUUGUAGGUGAGGUAAUGGCUCACCUAAGCUCCGAUAGGUAGGGGUCCUGAGAGGGAGAUCCCCCACACUGGUACUGAGACACGGACCAGACUUCUACGGAAGGCAGCAGUAAGGAAUAUUGGACAAUGGAGGCAACUCUGAUCCAGCCAUGCCGCGCGAAGGAAGACGGCCUUAUGGGUUGUAAACUUCUUUUAUACAGGAAGAAACCUUUCCACGUGUGGAAAGCUGACGGUACUGUAAGAAUAAGGAUCGGCUAACUCCGUGCCAGCAGCCGCGGUAAUACGGAGGAUCCAAGCGU